ensembl:lncRNA
AGCCUAAUUGCAGUCCUCGCAAUUUUGGGCGGACAGCCUAACGACAUAAAUAUUUCCUGUCCAAGUUAUCUUUUCCUUCAGACGGCUGCUUUGAACUGAUGAUGAAGGUCUCCGCAUAGUAACUGACUAAAUCUUUUUCUGACAUAAAGUACGAGCCAAGGGGUUGCCAAAUAUAGUCUGUUUACUGCAGGACGUGGACUUGUGGUAACUAUCUGAUUGUAUGUGGACCAUUUCCCUCGGCUAUAGAUUGGUGUCCGGCUAUCCGAUGCUGCAGCCCAUCCUCACUCCGGGACGAUAGGUUAAUUAACUGAUGACUACCGAGCGCUCUGACGUCCGACCUCCCCAUGAUGUCGAACUGGGGAUUUGCGUGCUAUGGCUGAAGAUGUCUCUGGACUCUGAUAAGGUGUGUGGGCUGCUGUCCCGGGACUCCAGGACCUCCUGUGUCUUCCAGGCUGCAGACGAGAAGGAUGACAUACCAGGGGUGGGGGAGGACAGUGUUUUGGAGAUGCUGAGCUAUUCUAAGUUCUCUGACCUGGAGACAUGGCUGUGCAUGCCCUCCACGCUGCUCCCCAGGGCCCUAGAGUCCACCCGCUCUACCUCUUCCUCAGGCUCCACCUCUACAGCACACCUCUCCACCUGCAGCGAGACUGGAGAGACAGACACACCACACAGACCUCUAGAUAGGGAGGCCAUGUUCCUGACCCCUGCACUGGGGCGGGAAAUCCCAUUCCUGGCCACACCCUUAGCCCCCAUCCUGUCCUCUACGCCGUGCAACAUAACCCCACAGGGCGGGGUCAGUGUCAGGAAGCGCAGGCGAUUGGCAGCCAGCCCCGGGGGACUACACUGGACCUCUACAGCAGCAUAUGAAGUGUUAGUGUUCUGGAGCUGUCCUCAGUGUUCCACUCCCAGGAACACAUUAGGUAUAUGUUUUUGUUUGCUAAUACAUGAUUGGAAAGCAUUGAAAUAAUUUCAGAACAUUCUGAAUGAUUUUUGAAUAAUUUCAAGGAUGAAUUACAUUUCCGGACUUUCAGAAUAAUUUAAAGGAUACAUUUGCAUUUACAUUUUAGUCAUUAAGCAGAUGAUCUUAUCCAGAGUGACUGUCACGGCUGUUGAAGGAUGAGGACCAAGGUGCAGCGUGGUGAGCGUACAUUUUACUUUAUUUAAGAAGUGACACCGACUAAACAAUACAAAACAAACCUUGAAGCUUAAGGCUGUGUGCCAUCAAACAAAGUUAACUUCCCACAAACACCGGUGGGAAAAAGGGUACCUAAGUAUGGUUCCCAAUCAGAGACAACGAUAGACAGCUGUCCCUGAUUGAGAACCAUACCCGGCCAAAAUAUAGAAAUAGAAAAUCAUAGAAACACAAAACAUAGAAUGCCCACCCCAACUCACACCCUGACCAAACCAAAAUAGAGACAUAAAAAGGAUCUCUAAGGUCAGGGCGUGUCAUUACCCCCCCCCCCAAAGGUGCGGACUCCGGCCGCAAAACCUAAACCUAUAGGGGAGGGUCUGGGUGGGCAUCUAUCCGUGGCGGCAGCUCAGGUGCGGUGCGCAGACCCCACUCCACUG